GCCAACGUUCAUAUCACGUUGAAUACACCAGUUCUCGUCCGAUCACUGAAGUUAAGCAACGUUGAGCGUGGAUAGUUAUCACACGCGAGUGCAAGAC
rnacentral:rRNA from 1 species